rnacentral:rRNA from 1 species
GAUGAACGCUGGCGGCAUGCCUAAUACAUGCAAGUCGAGCGAACGGACGAGAAGCUUGCUUCUCUGAUGUUAGCGGCGGACGGGUGAGUAACACGUGGAUAACCUACCUAUAAGACUGGGAUAACUUCGGGAAACCGGAGCUAAUACCGGAUAAUAUUUUGAACCGCAUGGUUCAAAAGUGUAAGACGGUCUUGCUGUCACUUAUAGAUGGAUCCGCGCUGCAUUAGCUAGUUGGUAAGGUAACGGCUUACCAAGGCAACGAUGCAUAGCCGACCUGAGAGGGUGAUCGGCCACACUGGAACUGAGACACGGUCCAGACUCCUACGGGAGGCAGCAGUGGGGAAUCUUCCGCAAUGGGCGAAAGCCUGACGGAGCAACGCCGCGUGAGUGAUGAAGGUCUUCGGAUCGUAAAACUCUGUUAUUAGGGAAGAACAUAUGUGUAAGUAACUGUGCACAUCUUGACGGUACCUAAUCAGAAAGCCACGGCUAACUACGUG